rnacentral:misc_RNA from 1 species
GAAAUGCGAUAAGUAAUGUGAAUUGCAGAAUUCAGUGAAUCAUCGAAUCUUUGAACGCACCUUGCGCUCCUUGGUAUUCCUUGGAGCAUGCCUGUUUGAGUAUCAUGAAAUCUUCAAAGUAAAUCUUUUGUUAACUCAAUUGGUUUCUACUUUGGUUUGGAGGUCUUUGCAGCUUCACACCUGCUCCUCUUUGUUCAUUAGCUGGAUCUCAGUGUUAUGCUUGGUUCCACUCGGCGUGAUAAGUUAUCUAUCGCUGAGGACACUGUAAAAGGUGGCCAAGGUAAAUGCAGAUGAACCGCUUCUAAUAGUCCAUUGACUUGGACAAUACUUUUAUGAUCUGAUCUCAAAUCAGGUAGGACUACCCGCUGAACUUAAGC